rnacentral:rRNA from 1 species
CAUGCAAGUCGAACGAAGCCUUCGGGUUUAGUGGCGCACGGGUGCGUAACGCGUGGGAAUCUGCCUUUCGGUUCGGAAUAACUCGGGGAAACCCGUGCUAAUACCGGAUGAUGUCGCGAGACCAAAGAUUUAUCGCCGAAAGAUGAGCCCGCGUAAGAUUAGCUAGUUGGUGGGGUAAAGGCCUACCAAGGCGACGAUCUUUAGCUGGUCUGAGAGGAUGAUCAGCCACACUGGGACUGAGACACGGCCCAGACUCCUACGGGAGGCAGCAGUGGGGAAUAUUGGACAAUGGGCGAAAGCCUGAUCCAGCAAUGCCGCGUGAGUGAUGAAGGCCUUAGGGUUGUAAAGCUCUUUUACCCGGGAUGAUAAUGACAGUACCGGGAGAAUAAGCACCGGCUAACUUCGUGCCAGCAGCCGCGGUAAUACGAAGGGUGCAAGCGUUAAUCGGAAUUACUGGGCGUAAAGCGUGCGUAGGCGGUUGGCUAAGUCAGAUGUGAAAGCCCUGGGCUCAACCUGGGAAUGGCAUUUGAAACUGGCCAGCUAGAGUGUGAUAGAGGAUGGCGGAAUUCCCGGUGUAGCGGUGAAAUGCGUAGAGAUCGGGAGGAACAUCCGUGGCGAAAGCGGCCAUCUGGAUCAACACUGACGCUGA